UGGGGAAUCUUGCACAAUGGGCGAAAGCCUGAUGCAGCAAUGCCGCGUGAGUGAUGAAGGCUUUCGGGUUGUAAAUCUCUGUCGGCUGGGACAAACGUCCUUAUGGUUAAUACCCAUGAGGAGUGAUGGUACCAGCAAAGGAAGAGGCGGCUAACUCUGUGCCAGCAGCCGCGGUAAUACAGAGGCCUCAAGCGUUGUUCGGAAUUACUGGGCGUAAAGGGUGUGUAGGUGGUGAUGCAAGUCAGAUGUGAAAGCCCUGGGCUUAACCCGGGAACUGCAUUUGAUACUGCGUUGCUAGAGUGCGGAAGAGGAGAGCGGAAUUCCUAGUGUAGGAGUGAAAUCCGUAGAUAUUAGGAGGAAUACCGAUGGCGAAGGCAGCUCUCUGGUCCGUAACUGACACUGAGACACGAAAGCGUGGGUAGCAAACAG
rnacentral:rRNA from 1 species